CCUACGGGCGGCAGCAGUAGGGAAUCUUUCACAAUGGGCGAAAGCCUGAUGGAGCAACGCCGCGUGCAGGAUGAAGGCCUUCGGGUUGUAAACUGCUUUUAUAAGCGAGAAAUAUGAUGGUAACUUAUGAAUAAGGAUCGGCUAACUACGUUCCAGCAGCCGCGGUCAUACGUAGGAUCCGAGCAUUAUCCGGAGUGACUGGGUGUAAAGAGUUGCGUAGGUGGCAUAAUAAGUAGCUAGUGAAAUCUGGUGGCUCAACCAUUCAGACUAUUAGCUAAACUGUUAAGCUCGAGACCGUUAGGGGUAACUGGAAGUUCUAGUGUAGGAGUGAAAUCCGUAGAUAUUAGAAGGAACACCAAUAGCGUAGGCAGGUUGCUGGGACGGUUCUGACACUAAGGCACGAAAGCGUAGGGAGCAAACGGGAUUAGAUACCCCGGUAGUC
rnacentral:rRNA from 1 species